CUUUCACGGCCACCCGGCAACAGGCUUCCCCACCCCGCCGCAGUGAAUGAACUUCAGUCCAGCCGGAGUGCGGGGGAGAGAGGGUGAAGAGAAAGGAGCCUCACAGCCCAGCCCUGUGUGGGACUAAGCUGUGAGAGGUGACCCAGAUUGAGGACUCUGCAGCAAGACGUGACCGAGGACAGCAGCAGUGUUCUCCAUUGAAACUCCACCUACCCAACACCUCAAUACAGCUGCUCCGUUAAACUGCAUUAAGGUGAUGGCAUCUCCUGAACAGCCAGCAAAGCACUUGAGACAGACGUGUAAAGAGCUACUCAGUCCGCUCCUACUCGCUGAUUCCAAGCACGAGUUGGAUUUGGUGGUGCAGUCCAGGGCCUAGCUCCUGUGGGACACUCUCAGCGGUGUGCAGGAAGGCAGCUGAGACUGACCACUGCCGGAGUGACCGGAGUGGGGCAAAUUUUACUCUUUAUUUGCUCUUUUGACUGUGGCUGUCUUUUCCCAAGCGCAAGCUCUGCUCCUUGCCUUCCCACCAAGCCCCUCGCACGCACAGCCUCAGAGUUCUUGUGAGCAGGGAGAUUGUGCCUGUUACGGGCACCCACGGAGGGGCGUUUAGUUUCCCAGAUUUCUGGGUGGGGGCUCAGGGUGGUUUAAUUAUUUGUCCGGAGGGACUCUAAAUACAUUGUACCCAGCCCCGUUGCUGCGGUGGCCCACCUGGCAGAAGGGUUACAUGGCCAGCGUGUGAGGUUUCAUUGAUACAGGGGGCUGGAGCGAAGGCCGGCAGUGGCCGGGUCACUGAGGGAAAGGGAGCCUGGAGGGAGGAUUUGGAAAAGAGGAAAGUUGUCUGGGUCAGGCCAGGUGACCCCACAGCAGGGGCCAGCCCAGGAGAAGGCCCAGGACAGU